rnacentral:lncRNA from 1 species
CGUGAGAGGCUGACGUGGGAGAAUCACUAGAACCUGGGACGUGGAGGUUGCAGUGAACAUUUUAGAAAAAAAAAUAGGAGAAAACCUGUGACUUUGGCUUAGACAAAGAUUUCUUAAAUACGACACCAAAAAUAACAUCCAUAAAAGAACAACUUGAUAAAUUAGUUUUCACCACAAUUAAAACUGUCUGUUCUUCAAAGGAUACUCUUACAGAUACUGUCAAGAGAAUGAAAUGACAGGCCAUAGACUAAGAGAAUACAUUUUCAAAACAUAUAUACAGUAAAGAAGUUUACUCAGUAAAUAUAAAAAAACUCUCAAACUCGAUACUAAAAAAUAAAUAACCUAA